UACGUAGGUGGCAAGCGUUGUCCGGAAUUAUUGGGCGUAAAGCGCGCGCAGGCGGUCUCUUAAGUCUGAUGUGAAAGCCCCCGGCUCAACCGGGGAGGGCCAUUGGAAACUGGGAGGCUUGAGUAUAGGAGAGAAGAGUGGAAUUCCACGUGUAGCGGUGAAAUGCGUAGAGAUGUGGAGGAACACCAGUGGCGAAGGCGACUCUUUGGCCUAUAACUGACGCUGAGGCGCGAAAGCGUGGGGAGCAAACAGG
rnacentral:rRNA from 1 species